UGACCCCGGACAGGUUCGAACAGUCGACCCAUUAAUUAAGACGGGGCCGCCCGAGCAGUCAAUUGCUCUACCAACCGAGCUACGGAGUC